UACGAAGGGAGCGAGCGUUGUUCGGAAUCACUGGGCUUAAAGCGUGCGUAGGCGGAUGUGUAAGUAAGAAGUGAAAUCCCAGGGCUUAACCCUGGAACUGCUUUUUAGACUGCACGUCUAGAAUUCGGUAGAGGUUGGUGGAACUCCUAGUGUAGAGGUGAAAGUCGCAGAUAUUAGGAAGAACACCGGUGGCGAAGGCGACCAACUGGACCGAUAUUGACGCUGAGGCACGAAAGCGUGGGGAGCAAACAGG
rnacentral:rRNA from 1 species